AUGGGGCUGGAGCUCACCUGCCCCGUCUGCCUGAAGUUGCUCAGCGCGCCUACGAUGCUGCCGUGUUGCCACACAUGCUGCAGCAAAUGUGCCACUCCGCAGGCUAUGAAUGGCCACAGCUGCGCCAUUUGCAAACUAGUCUACCAUCCUCAAGAUUUAAGACCUGCUUCUCAAAUUGAGGCGUUAGUGAACAUUCAGAGGAGCAUAAGCUCUACGGUCAGCAGCAUGUCUCUGCAGCUCGGGACUCAAGCAGACAUUCAUGUUGCAAAGGCUACAUCUCAAGGAACUCCAGAAUCAGGAACGACAAGUUCUUACAACCUGGAUGCUUCAAAGCUGCCAUGUAACCAAGCAUCUGGACCUGCAAAUGAAAAUGCUGAUGGUGUGCAAGCAAUGGAUCCUGCACCAGGAAACAGAACUAAUGAUGUGGCAGUUGAGCCAACGGUUAUUGUACAGACAGGACCGUGUGGGUCUCAAACUCCUGUUGGCUCUGGGGAUCUGGAAUGUGAUAGCAAUGACCUUGAAGGAGAGUUGAUAACAAGCGGAUCACCUCCUCAGAGUACUUUGAAAAGAGGGCCAAAUGUAACAGAUGACAGUACUAGAGGACUGAAGAGGCAAAAAUCCUCAGAUCAGAGUGAAAAACAACCAAGUAUGAAUGCUGCAUGGAAAUGCGAGUUUUGUCACUCUUCCGAAAUCAGUGAGUGUACUGGCCCUUUGUUGCAUUGUUUGGAUGAAGCACUAGUGAAGGAUGAUCAAGCAUGGAAAUCUAAUGUUCUCCAUGUCCACGAGAAAUGUGCUGAAUGGGCUCCUCAGGCAUACUUUGAAGGUGAUAUGGUUAAAAAGUUGGAGUCUGAGUUGGCCCGCUCUUCGAAGAUGAAGUGUGGUAUUUGUGGAUUAAAAGGUGCGGCACUGGGCUGUCUUUUUAAGAGCUGCCGCAAGAGCUACCAUUUACCAUGUGCCCGUGGGGUCUCAGGCUGCAGAUGGGACGAAGGAGAGUUUGUUAUGCUGUGUCCUACCCAUUCAUCAAAGAGGCUGCCAUGUGAGAGAUCGAAGUCAAAAAACAAGAAGGCCGCCCAGCCGCAACAACCAUCUUCUGAAACAGUGCUUGGUGAUUCGAACUCACCAUUCCCGAUGGAGAUGAAUGAACUUUGGACCUCACUUUGUCCGACAAGUGAAUGGGUGAUAUGUGGAUCUGCCCUCUCUGAUCAAGACAAGGAAAUCUUGGAUCAGUUUGAGUACCACUCAGGCGUCACAACAACCAAUAACUGGAGUUCAAACGUAACUCAUGUGCUUGCCAAUACCAACGAACAUGGAGCAUGUGGCAGGACACGAAAGGUUCUCCUGGCCAUACUUGCUGGGAAAUGGGUUGUCAAUGUGAAUUGGCUGAGUGCUUGCCUGGAGGCUAAAAAACCAGUCCCAGAAGAGCCCUAUGAGAUUUGCUCUGAUGUCCAUGGCGCCAUUGAUGGCCCCCGUAUAGGAAGACUACGAGCAAUGCAAAAGGCACCAAGUCUGUUUUCAGGGUUGACCUUCUACUUCAUUGGCCAUCCUCUGACAUUCAAGGUUGAGCUUGAUGAAUUGAUUGCCGCGGCAGGGGGAUCAAUUUUGGGCAAGGCUGAUCUCUCUAGCACAUCCCUGAUUGUUUACAACAAGGAAGUUCUGAAUGGAUGUAACGAAGAUGCUGUUGAUGAGGUUUUCAGUAAGAGGGAGCUGAGGCUCUAG
rnacentral:rRNA from 1 species